AUUGAACGCUGGCGGUAUGCCUUACACAUGCAAGUCGAACGGUAGAGGGGCAACCCUUGAGAGUGGCGAACGGGUGAGUAAUACAUCGGAACGUGCCCAGUCGUGGGGGAUAACGUAGCGAAAGCUACGCUAAUACCGCAUACGACCUGAGGGUGAAAGCGGGGGAUCUUCGGACCUCGCGCGAUUGGAGCGGCCGAGGGCAGAUUAGGUAGUUGGUGGGGUAAAGGCCUACCAAGCCUGCGAUCUGUAGCUGGUCUGAGAGGACGACCAUCCACACAGGGACUGAGACACGGCCCAGACUCCUACGGGAGGCAGCAUUGGGGAAAUUUGUACAAUGGGCUAAAGCCUGAUCCAGCCAUACCACGUGCGGGAAGAGUGCCUUCGGGUUGUAAACCGCUUUUGUCAGGGAAGAAAUCUUCUGAGUUAAUACCUCGGAAGGAUGACGGUACCUGAAGAAUAAGCACCAGCUAACUACGUGCCAGCAGCCGCCGUAACAC
rnacentral:rRNA from 1 species